AAUAGAUACCCAGGUAGUCCACGCCGUAAACGAUGAGUGCUAAGUGUUGGGGGGUUUCCGCCCCUCAGUGCUGCAGCUAACGCAUUAAGCACUCCGCCUGGGGAGUACGGUCGCAAGACUGAAACUCAAAGGAAUUGACGGGGGCCCGCACAAGCGGUGGAGCAUGUGGUUUAAUUCGAAGCAACGCGAAGAACCUUACCAGGUCUUGACAUCCCGGUGACCACUAUGGAGACAUAGUUUCCCCUUCGGGGGCAACGGUGACAGGUGGUGCAUGGUUGUCGUCAGCUCGUGUCGUGAGAUGUUGGGUUAAGUCCCGCAACGAGCGCAACCCUUAUUCUUAGUUGCCAUCAUUCAGUUGGGCACUCUAAGGAGACUGCCGGUGAUAAACCGGAGGAAGGUGGGGAUGACGUCAAAUCAUCAUGCCCCUUAUGACCUGGGCUACACACGUGCUACAAUGGACGGUACAAACGGUUGCCAACCCGCGAGGGGGAGCUAAUCCGGAUAAAACCGUUCUCAGUUCGGAUUGUAGGCUGCAACUCGCCUAC
rnacentral:rRNA from 1 species